UGAUGUGCCGUUCAGCGCGAGGACCAUCACGGCUUCGGGUUUUUUGAAAUACGGCCGGUCGUUUUGCCGGAUAUUAACGGCGUCAUCGGUUCGCGUUUAAUCGAACCGUGCGUCGUCGUCGUCAUUGUCCGAGCGGGCGGAAGGGAAGUCAUCGGAAGCGGCGGCGUGGGCGGGCGUGUGGCGCGCCGCGGACGAGACGGGGCCGCGGCGGGCGGACAUCGAGGGUGUAUCGAUUACGAUUGCACACUGCAACAGCCCGCUGCCGAGAUGAGCACAGACGAUCCGCGAUAUUUUUGUGCAUCUACGGUUAUAUAAAUGAAAUAGGGAUGUCCAGUAUACAAGGCACCUUCUCAAAAACCUGCACCAAAAAUUCCUCCAACUAAGCGCCCUGAAUUCAAAGCUCACUCCACAACAAAAUCUUACGCAGAAAAGACCAAACAUGCGGAAGCCACAAAAAUUCAAUUAUCACACACGGAGAAUAAUAUCGCCGACGCUAUAUCAACUUUUAUUUCAAACAUAAACUCAUUAAUUGGUCCCCUUAUCUCCCUCCUCACGUCAGUCCUAAACGCACUUAAAGCUAAUAGCAGUAUUCCAUAAUCUUAUCUCUUCCUUUUAUCAUUAUAUUAAUAAAUAUCCUCAUUAACUAUCCAAAACGUCAA